rnacentral:lncRNA from 1 species
AAUAUGAUUUUAAAUUUAAAUUCAGAUUUUAAAUUUAAAUUUCGGUUUCAAAACUUUCAUUUUAAAUGUAAAUUAAAAUAUCAAAAUCAAAAUCAAAAUUUUAAGUUUGAAUUCAAAAUUUAGAUUCAAUUGAAAAUUUAAAUUUAAAAUUUGAAUUUCAAUUCAAAAUUUUAAUUCAGCUUUAAAUUCAAAUUCAAAAUUCUUAUUUCUAAUUAGUUUAAAAUUUUAAUUUUAAUAUUAUUUUUGAAUUUAAAUUUAAAAUUUUGAAUUUUUUUAAGGACUAAAAUGGAAAAUGUGCAAAGUUUAUGGACCUAAAUUAAAACGCAAAAGGUUGCCACGUAGACGCUGAUGUGGCAAUUCCGUUAAUUUUAACAGUUUUUUUAACGAUUGGGGCCUAAUUGUAAUAAAAUUAAGAGAUUAGGGACUCAAUUGUAAAAAACAUAGAUUGGAGACUCAAGUGAAAAUUGGUGCGAAGGUUGGAGACUGCCGGUGUAAUUAACCCUAAUUUUUGUCCUAUAUUUCGUUUGAUUGAAAAUUUAUUAUU